AGUGCCUUGGGCAGGCUCCCUUCACGUGGCAUUCAGCAGUGCUGGGGCAGCAUUCUGCUGGCCAGCUUUUCCUGAAAAAUAAAAUCUAUUCCUUAAUAAAGGAAAAUUAGUAGCUUAACCAAGAUUAGACUGUACCCCAGCUGCUUUUAUAAGUCUGUCGAUUGUGUGUGAACUCUGCAUGCCCAGGGCUCAACAUGUUACAGGGGAAUCUCUCCAAAGCUUAAAGAGCAGAAUAAAAUCCUUACCUUUCUCAUGCUCCCUAAAAUGCCCCGUUGCUUUCAUAGCAAGGCAUUAUUUUUCUUACUGACAUUUGUAGCCAUAACUUUUCUAUUUCUCUUGUGCAUAAGAGGAACUCGUGUCUGUGACAUUCAGUCAGUGGGGGAUGGAUCCCAAUGGUUUUGUGCCAUUUGAGUUGCCAUGGGGCUCAUCCCAGUGUCUCCAGCUCUUGUGUAUUUUGAUUUCUCCCAGAAGAUGGAGAGAAAUCAAGGAUUUCUCCUUUUCCUCUGAGGAACCCUGUGGAUGUUUUCUCUGCAGUAGGAUUCAGCAUUGUGCAGCUCCCCAGGCUGGAGCUGCUGUGUCUGCUGUGACCACCCUGCAAUCUGCAGGAUCUUUGGUGUCCCCAGUGUCACCUGUAAAUUUCUUUUCACUUCACUCCAUUUGAAACUGGGAAAGGAAAAUACCCACAAAUCCCCAAGUUUCAUCACCACUGUACAAAUUUAAGCAGGUGAAUCAAAAUAUUCCUAUAGAAAUUCUCACAGAGUCUCUAACUUUAUAAAUGAUAAAUGCCUGAGCCACUCUUUUACAGAAGUACUGAGUUUAUGAAGCUAAAUGAACAAAUUUUGACAAUUUCCCAGUGAUUGUACAGCCAGAGGAAUUCUGAAGACAAGGCAAGGCUGUUCCCCAGGGCUGCAGAGCAGAGCUGGUGUUGGGAGUGUGUGGCUGUACAGUCCCUGGACAGCAGAGGUCCUCCAGACCCAGCUCUUCAUCCCCAAGUGGGAAUUUUGCAGCAAUUACCUUCGAUUAGUCACUCUAGAAAAUAAUUUUACUCAAGGAUUUUGUCAUGGAGAUAAACAAAACAAUCAUCUUGUUUGCCUUGAUUUUUAAAAUUAUUUUUGUUGUGGAAUAUUUGCUGUUGUUAUUUCCUCUGCAGUGCUUAAACUUGGAGGGUUUAAAUCCUCUGUGGAGUCUUUUGAAGACACGUGCAGCAGUAUUUUAGCAAAGUAUUUCAUGUGCCUCAUUUGUCAUUUAGCAGCAGUGCUGCUGUCUAGAAACACAACUCUUUAAUUAUUAUCAGAAAACACACAAAUGUCUGAAAUGUUAUGGUUAGAAUGUAACUGAUAUCCAGCUCACUUUCCAGUAAGAUUGUAACAAAUUUUUACUUUAGCUUUGAGAAGCUAAUUUUGAUUAUUUGAAUAUGUACAACAAGUAAAGAGUUGGCAAUGCCUCAUGAAUUUAUGGGCUUGGGCAAAAUUUAAAUAUCUAUGCAGUUAUAGAGGUAACUGUAUUAUCAGCCUCUCAUUUGUAGAUUUCUAUAAAUCUUAGAAAAAUAUGGAAAUUAUAAAUAUUGAAAGUGGUUUUUCUCCUUCAUACUCUACUGGCUGAGCACCUUAACAAGCCCUGUCUGAAAGCCAUUCCAACUUUGUUGCUGGUAACUUCCCUGUAACCUGGGUAACUAAGCUUUGAGGAGAAAACAAGAAUAUAAGUAAAAGUAACUGCAGUUUAUUUUAAAAUAUUUUCCAUUAUUAACACAUUUUUAAUAGCAGGAGACGCCCAGAUUUUGGCUUCAUUAUUAAACAUGCUGGAGAAUGGGGUUUGUGCUGGAGCAGCUGCCAGCUUUGUGUCUCCACUCACAAUUAUUUCCAAAUUGUUACCCUGCUACUGCUAUUAACUGGCUUGGUCAUUCACAGGUUUUUAGAAGGCCAAAAAAAAAGAAGAAAAAAGGGCAUUUUACCAUUUUAUUUCGAUUCACUUCACUACUGUCUUUAACCUGUCGUGUUUUCUGGACAAUCUCAUGACGGUGCCUUUUUGUAAAAGCCCUGUGAAUGAUGGAUUAAGAUCUGUCUUGGAUUUUACAUGGAUUAAGCUUUAAAUUAACAUAAAAGAAUAACAAUGUGAAUCAAUUUGAUCAAAGAAAAAGUGUCACUAAUUAUUUAAACAGGACACUUAGUCCCAAGGUUUAAAGGCAAAGGAGCGGAUUUCCCUUGCAUGUGGAUCGAAUCAGAAGUAUCCCAUAAUUGACUCUUUACAAGACCUUUCUGCAGAGUAAUGGACUAGAUAUUAAAGCCUUAAGUAUUUAAAGUGAGUUUCCGUCCUUCUCUAAAUGGAGCUGCAGCACUAAGAGCUAUUUUACAAGUCUGACACAUUAGUGCAUCCCUGGGAAAUCCGCCGGGCUCCGGCCGCUCCGGCCCCGCGUUCCCAGAGCUCUCAGCCCUUCCACGGUGUGAAAUGGUGAGCGCUGGACCUGUGAGGAGCAUCUGAGAAUAAAUUCCAGAUGGGGCUGUCUGUUGGGAAGGAGUGGGGAUAGUGGAUGGGGCUAUUAUUUAUAAGUGUUUAAUUGGCUUUAUCUUUGCCACCUAUUUCUAAUUUUGUUGGCGCCUCUUGGGAAAAUUCAUUCUCUGGUGACAAAGGCUCGUGUGGCCUCAGAGCUGUUCUCCUUUCUGGGCUCUGGAGAUGUUCUUCUGCACUUCUGGAUGAGAUGAAUGCUGCUACAAGUAAAACACUGCUUUGUACCUGAAGGGAUUUUUAUUUUCUCAUACCAGUUUUAUUUUGGAGGGGAUGCAGUGAAGUCAUUCCCAAAAAAGACACUUCUCUCUCCUUGGCCAGUCCUUGUUUCAGACAAGAAACUUCAGACAAGAGCUUUUUUUCAAAUUGAGAUGUUCUUCCUAAGGGGAGUUGAGCUAGUACAGUUUAUCCAAUCUUAUAAAAACUAGCACAAAUAAGACAGGAAAACAUGAAAAUGUUAUAGGUGCUCCCAUUAUUUACAGGGUUGAACCAAUCCUUUUUUCUUUUUUAAAAUUAUUACUACAUGUAAAAUGGCAUGUGUUAUAUUAGGGAAUAUUUCUGUCAAUAUAAACUUUUAUUUGUAUUGAUCCUUGUUUAAAUUGUUGCUGUGUUAGAGUCCCUGAACAUCUUCCAGCUCUUUAUUUUCCAUUAAUCCAUGCUCCAAGUGGUUUCUCCCACCUUGUACCCCAGGUCCCACCUUUUCAGACAGCCCCAUGUAUGUGGUACAAUAAUAUUACACAGACAGGAAAAAUCAGUUCCUUUUUGUAUGGAAAUAAUUCAUAUAUAAAUAUUCCUUUGCUAUGUGGUUUAUACUGUAUAGACUUACAGGAUAAUAUUACUGGCAAAAUAAUUCUUAAUAUGACACAGAAUUUACUUUUUGCCUAUUUCUGUUUUCAACUGUCAGGUGGAAACCAAAUCACCCUGAAAUCAACAGGAGAUCAGUCAGGCAAGGAGUCUUGGGAAGGCAAAAAUUUUGUCCCAUAUAGGCACAGUUUAAAAUUCCAAAGGAUUCGAAAAAUCUGAAUAUCUGAACUUCAAUUUGUAACAUCUGGGACUUCAAACCAGACAUAAACAAUAUUGAAUGAAUUAUAUUUUUUGUGUUUCAUCAAAAUAACAUUGUAAAUACUGAAGCCACAAAUUAUACUUUAAAAUGAGAGUGGACAUUGACUGUGAUUACCCUGAAAGUUGAAGUAUUUCAUACACAAAGAUCAAAGAAAAUGCUGCUUAACUCUUGCAGAGGAGAAAUCAUUUCUAGAACUUAAUCUGAAACUCAGGUUAUGGAUUUAACUGCUCCUUUUUGUGGAGGUGAAGAAAGAGAGCCAAGUUUUGAAGUAUUUAUUUUCACAAUUAUUCCUGGGCUUGUCCUCUGCUCCGAGGAAAGGACCUCCCGUGUUCUGGGCAAACCAAGUGCUUGCCGUGGGAAUGUUGGGGUUUCUUCCCUCAGCUGCAGACAGGGAAGAAGGGGCCCAACAAAUCCUCAUUUUUUGCCUUUGGCAGGGUGACCUCGUCCCCCUGAGCUGGGUUGGGAUUUUGGCCAAGGCUGGUCCUGCAGAGCCACGCCAGGUCCAGCCACAGCCCACCUUCCCGAGUCUAGACAGGGCUGAGCAGCACAUUCAGCCUUGGCUCGGGGAUUUUAGGGUUUCUCAGCUCUCUCCAGACUCUGUGGGACACAUUCCCAGGCUCUCUGUGCAAUGCCCAGGUAAAUGGGGUUUGCACGGUGCUGCGAGUGACAAAUUCCCAAAUUCCCAAAUUCCCAAAUUCCCAAAUUCCCAAAUUCCCAGCACAACCACGGAGCUGCAGCAGCUCCCUGAGUGCUGCACCUCCCCUGCUCGGGGUUGUGUUUGUACUCAUGCCUUCCAUCCCUUUAUUUUCCCCUGGUGAUUUCACAAUGGAACAAAAUGGAGUUCCUAUGGCACAGAGUUUUUCCAUUGACUUUCCAACUUUCCAUAUCCUGCUCCCAUGGCAUAGAGGGAAUAUUGGAGCUCUUCUGCUGCUUGGACUGUAGGGGUCUGAGUUGUUAAACCUUUUACAGCUCAGGGGUGGAUGUUGUGUAUCUAUCUGUCUUGAAAUCUUAAUUGUUUAAAUCUAAUAAUUAAAAUUAUUUAUGAAAUUUCUCCUGAUUUAAAUCACGCCAGAAGGUGAUGCUGAGACCCUCAAGGGUCCUGAGCAUUGUUGUACCAAAAAAGAGUUUGUAGGUUUCUGUUGCUUCCAAAGAAAGUAAACUCAAGAAAACCCAUAACUUUUAACUUGGUCUUAAAAUCUUACCAGUCUAAUUUUUCAGUCCUGAGAUUUCUGCCUGAAGUACUUUUCUUGGGCUAUCUUUGUUUUACACCAAAACAAAUAUUUUGAAAAAUCCAGUUUCCAUUGAUUUUCUUCCUCAGAAAAGCAGCUAGGAGCUAAUAAAAGGAGAGGAGCUGGUCCAAGGAAAGCACUGUGGCUGUUGGAGAUCUGCAGAGCUGGGCUGGGGAGCAACAAGAGCUGCUGUCAAUCCCCUUCCUUUUCCUCCUUUGCAAGGCACAGCUGGGCUUGCACCCACGCUGGGGCUCCUUUCCAAUAGCAUCCAAAGGGAGAUUAAACGAACUAAUAUUCAUUUAUAUUUAGAAAUUAACCUAAGGAAUCACCAAGAAAUGCAUGAAACUAAUCAUAAAGCAAAGCCUGAUCCCAGAAAAAUCAAAGUAAACUCUCCAUCUCUUGUCCCAUAUGGAUUGAUGCUGUUCUCAGCUCACCAGAGCAUCAGAACUGAUUUUAUAGGUUAGAAAUUAGUGUUAAUUUCUAGCUUGGAGCACCCAAAAAGCUUUACUGAAGGAAAUAACCAAAAUACAAAAGGCACCACUUGCUCAGAAGGUGCAGGAUGAGGGCAGGAUCCUCUGUUCCUGUUGAUGACAGAAGUUUGUAUGUAACCUCCAUCAGCAAAAUAUUAAAAACACCCUCAUUCACCUUUUCUCAUAAAACAGCCACUAAAAUAAUUAACUUAAAGGUGUGUAGAUACAGACAUUAGAGAUCCAUCAGGUGAGCAGAGUGUGAUUUUUGCCAGUGUACAUUUGUGAGUAAUAUCCUCAAGAUUCAAGUAAAAAUUGUCUUUGAACUCUUGGAGUCUCCUGAAGACUGUAGGCAGUUGGCUCUGCUUCCCUGGAUCCAGUACACCCUCCAGAACAUUAAUUUGUGUUACAUUUCCUAGGGGUGUUAAUUGAAGAUGCUGGAAAUAAAGGUAUGAAUUCUGCUUCCAAGUCACAAAUGUUUUAGUUCAGCUCCAGACAGAUUAUUUUUAAGUAAUGUGUGAUUUGGUUUUCAUUUUCUCUUCAUUUUAUUUAAAAGGGCUUCUGCAUUGUUCUUUGCUGCUGUAGUUAAUCUAUGAAUUAGGAGGGGCAGAAGUUAAUUUAUAGCACAGAAGACAUUCAUGCUGCUUAGGGAGUUGAAUCCAUCACCCUGUGUUUAUUUGUCAGCUGUUUAGGUUUCCUUCACUUUGCCUCACAGCCUUUUCUCUGCAACUGCUGUGUGCAGUGUGAAACAAGUUCAAGCUGUGCAUAGAAGUGUGUGUACACAGGUCUCUGCUUCCAUUCUGGCAACCAAACGUUGUCUCCUUCCUUUCUGGGUUUCCCUGAAGAAUGUCACUCCAAAUCAAGAUGUUUGGGAUGGCAAAAGCAUUCAGCACCUCCCACCCCACCAAAAAAAAAUUAUAUUUGGAAAUCUCAGCUUUAAUUCAUGAGACAGAUCAGAUCCAGAGCCAGCACACACCAGUGUAUUGAAUAUUUUCAACUGAAUAGCUCUAGUUGUCCCUUCUUUUUGUAUAUAUUUAUAUGUUGUAACUGAUUUAUUGAUAGGAGACUGCUGAAGUGGGUGACCACUUAGAACAUUCCUGUGGGAAUAAAACUGUCCCUUGUCCUUUCCCAAAUUAAACUGCCCUAGGUAUAGUAUUCACUUGUGUGAUAUUUUAGCCUUAUGAAAUUAAUUUUCCUCCUUCCUCAUUGUUGCAAAUAUUUUCUGUUAUCACUUUCACAGUCUAUCAGUGAUCUUUCCUUAGGAUAGAGUAUCCUAAACAUUGCUCAAGGCUGCUAAUUCUUCCAGGACUGAUCCAUAGCUCUGCUGUCAAGUUUCCAGGGAUGAUUUUUGGUUUUGUUUGACAGCUCAGUCCCACAGUUCCUCCUGACUCUGUUUCCCUGUGGGAAGUGCCACUCAGAAGGAGCAGUGGUACAGAAAACCUGCAUUCUUCUGGAGCCAAGGCUGAGCUCCAGCCCACUGCACAACUCUGGGAAUCCCAGUUGUUGCCUUUCCCUGUAAUCAGCCACAAAAGGGGUUUGAAAGGCUCCAGGAUGAAUGGCUGAGCAGGGCUGGAGCCAUCUGCCCCCAAACCGUGUGGCUGGAGCAGGAUGAGAUAAAGGAGGAAUCCUCCCUUCAGGAUGGAUUGUUCAGGCACUGCAGCUGACAGGACCAGGUGACCAGAUGUAACUGCAACAAGAAUCUGCAACAUCUGGAAGCCCUUUUUGGAAGGACUGAGACCUGUGAUAAGAAAGAAAGUUCUGAGGCCAUCUGGAGAAUUCCCAGGAUGGGUGGGAAGGCUGGAUGCAAACCCCAAGGCUGGACUGACAAGGUCUGACUGCCAUCACCCAGAGAGCUUCCCAGAGCAUGGCAGAAAGAAGGAAAGUCUUGGGCAGAUGAAGAUACAAGCUAAAAUAUUCAUUUUGGAACCAAAUUGAAGGAUCUUAGGUCCCAUUUGAAGCCCACAAUGCAACAAAUGAUUGUCAGCCAGUGAUCUCUGUAAAAUCAGAAAUUAGGGCAAAAAACAAACUUGUAAUUUGAAAUUUAAGAAUAAUUCUGAUGGGAUAUUUCAGAUCAAUUCACAAACUGAUUAACCCUCUCCAUUUGAGCUCUGGGCUUCAAGAGGAGCAUGGCUGCUCCUUUCAAAUCCCAGCCCUGAUGAAUGACUGGAAAGGUGGGCAGAAACUGGAGCUCCUGGCAGCCAAAUCCCCUAACUCAAGUCCUGUUUGGAAAAUGAAUGAUGAAAAGGGGCAUUCCUAAUCUGAUCCCUGGCCUUACUAUACAAUUAGGAAAAGUGAUAAUCUUCGUUUGUAAAACAAGGAAAAUUGGCAGCUGUGAAAAAAAUAAAGGAAGUAGUUGAGUUUAAUAUUAGACUUAUGAAAAAAUUGGCCAUAAAAGCUGUUCUGAGGCUGGCCAGGACAGAGCCUCAGAAAUGUCUGGGGAGUGUUCUUCAAUCAGUUCAGGGAAUGUGAGGACAUGAAGCUGAAAGUGCUGAGCUCCAAAGGAAUGAGGAUAAAGCUUAAAGCUUUUCUCUAGAUUUGGUCAGUUUACUUUCUGAAUGUAUAUUGGGAUCUGGGAAACGAAUGGAAUAAAGUCCCUUUUCUCUGCAGUUAUUGGACAAGGUGAGCUGAAAAAGAAUAAAUUGGGCUCAAGCAGGGAGAGUGACUGCUGGCAGACACAGGGCUUUCCAAAGGUGGGGAAAUUGAUUUAGAAAAGUCAUCCUCUCUGAGCAAGAAAUGUAACUAAAAUGAUGGAUAGGCUAUGGAAGGAUUUGGAGAUCAUUAUGGUAAUAGAGUAAUACAAGCUGGAAGUAUUGUCUUACCAAUGAAAUCCCUGGAAAUUUUCUUUAAUUAUGUGGCUCAGAUGAAGCAUAGAAUUUGCAGAUAACUGAUUUGGAGUGAGGAGAUUUUCCCAGUGCAGCAGGCAACUACUUCAGCAGCUACUUGUGGCAGUAUCAAAGCAAAGGUUAAAGUGGUGGAAAUCGUAUUUUAAGGGCCAAACAUUUGCAGAAACUUUUGCUGCUGGAUCUGAAGGAAAGGGUGGUUUUUCUCUUGCACUAAGCAAUUUAAAUUCUAAAUUCCUUGAAAUGCAGAGCUGCAGCAAGAUUUCAAGUGAUUUCCCUGCAGCAUGUGAUGCUGUAGUGGGUGUACUUGCUCUGGCUUUGCUCCAGCUUUCACAACUAAUUGAAACUUUGAAAAUCCAACAGCUUGGAGGUCAAUACAGGUCCUGAAGGUCCUGGAAACACCUCCAGGAGCCACAGAACCUCCAAGCCUCUCUUGGAGGUAGAGGUGCCAUCACUGCUGGAACUUGUGUGAGCCGGGCUAAAAUCACCAGAGCUGUGCCACAAUCCCAGUUCCAGGGUACUGUUUAGAUUCACAGAAGUUUUUUCCAGUUAAAAAUCAGUUCUCUGAAUCCAAUAAACACACAGGCUGCACACAGUGGUGCACCACAGAUGGAUUCUGAGGGAAACCAACCCAUUCCCAGCACCUCGCUGUCAGAAAGUGCUACUGGGCAUCAAGGGAGUGAACUGGGAUGGAUAAAUGAGCUUUCAACGAUUUUUGGACCUCACUCAUAGUUCUGAUUAAAGUCAAAUGGUGGCUGGAGUGGAUCCUGCAGAGCCAAGUUACAGGAAAAAGGGGAGGGAACAGCUUCCAGAGCAGGACAAGGCCUACUGCAAUUUGAAAAAGAUUACUUUUGGCCCAGCACCUGCUGCCUUUUGAGGAUGGGAAGGAGCUGUGCUCCAGCCUGCCUGGAUCAGAUUAGCUCUAGAUGGUAUCUUGGUACCAAGUACAACACUGAGGUGUGAACUGAUGGAUUUACAAAUGGUCUGUAACACACUGAAAGCCCUCAGCCUGACAUCAAUUCCAAAGGCAAGGGAAUCAUUGGAGGCAGAAGUGAUUAAUUGUGAGUAUACAGCCAUCCAGGGAAUGGUUUCACAGACAAAAGGACAGAGGAGAGGCAGGACCAUCCUGGGCAGCUCUCCAGCCGGUGCCACUCAGGUGAAGGUUUUUCUGAGGAAUUUUUUAAGGAUUACUGCUGCUAUUUCAGGCAGAUUUUUGUGGCUUUGUUAAUAUUGUAAAACCACUACGUGAGCUUGGUGAGAAGGAAACCAUUUCAGUGGCUGGCAGAGUGUGAUUUAACGUUUUCAAAAAUGUUUUUUAACAAAACCUCUUGUAACUGCUCCCAUUUUCACCUCCCCACGUUCCAAACACCUUCCAGGCUGGGCACAGAUGCCGAGGGCAGCACUGACAGAGAGAAUCAAAGCACUGGAAGGGAUGGGGGCUUAUUACAACAAAAAUUCUGUUCUUGGGAGAAAAAUCCAUAUUCUGCUCCAAGAACAUCUGACAGUGGUUAAAUCCAGAGAAGGUUUCACCGUGGAUCCUUUGGAGAGGCUUGGCCAGCUCUGGCAGGCUGCGGGGACACUGCGGGAUGUGGAGGGCAGGAAUUGGGAUUCUGUGGGGUGGGACCAGCUCAGGCUCAGCUUCACCCAGAGAACAACUUUGGAGGUUCACCCCAACCUUGUCCCAUCCCAGAACAUCAGGCAAAGGUCACCUGAUGUUCUGGGAAAGCCAGGUGUGAUGUCCACUUGUCCAAGUGGCUCUCCUGGAAUUCUGUGUUUCUUUUUUCAACAGGGAGUUGGAGUGGUGGAUGAAGCAUCAGCUCCUGCUCUGGGAUUCCUGCUGUGGCCUUUGUUAAACAGCACAAUUGUGUUGAGGAAACACGUGGCUCUGUCCUCCAUUAGUCUCUCCUGACAUAAAUAUGCAGCAAUAAAUUAAGAUUUAUUCAUUUGUUAGUGUUCAGGAUGAUUAUUCUGCUAUUAAAUUCCCCAUCUCUGCUGUUGGAUGAAGCGAAGGAAAUCUGUACCUUAGUGAAGGCUGUUACAAUAUCAUGUGGCUGGAACAUAUGUGUUUUAUCCAUAUUCAUAUAUAAAAUAUCAUUAUGAUCCCUGGGGUUGAUGCAUGUGAACUGAUCAUUUUCUUGCUACAUUUAACCAAGUGCUAUGAAAAUUUGAGGGGAUUUUGCUACAGCAGAGAUUCAGCUUUUAAAGUUUAGCAUCUAAGCCAUGCUUCCCAAAAUAUCUGAUUUUUUUGUACCUAAACCACCCUGGAGACGUCAUGACACAUUUCAGGUGUCUUACAGAACUGAGGAGAAAUGGGUUUAAACACAUUUAUGUUAAACACUGAUAUUUCAACUUCUGCACAUCACUGGUGCCUGAAAACUGCAAGAACAAAAGCAUGGAAAUUGGGUACUUAUAAAUAAUCAGAUUUUAACACCUUUGUUACAUUUUAAAGCUGUUGGAAGCUUUCUUCCAACAGUGAGGAAGGUGAAACACUGGGAAAUCAGUCCUGUGAAGAUUUUUAUCAUUUUAUAAACCCUCUGUUGAACAAGCUCCCAUGUAAAUCUGUGGUCCUGCUGGGUUCCUCUGGGUUAUCCAGGAAUGCUGACCUGCAUCACAGGGGCACCUUUCAUGAAACCUGAGACAGAGAUUUUUUUUCAUGUAUAAGAUGUUGGUGUGGUUUUUAUACAGUGUAAGUGCCAGGUAUGUUUUAAAUACAGGAAUGGGAAGGAGAGCAUAGAUGUGGGAGACUCUUGUGCAGAAAGCAGCACAUUGUCAUUAAACAGCAGACUCAGGAGUGAGAUGUGCCUGAUAUUGGGGUCUCUGAAUCACUGGCCCCUAUAUAUGUGUGUGUAUAUAUUUAUUUAUGUAUUUGAGAGGUGCUUGGACUCUGCAGUGACACGAGCUCUGAGCACCUACACAGAAAUCAGGCAAUUUUUGUUAUAAAAUUGGACCUGCUGGAGGCUGCCUGGAAGAAGGCUUGAGGUUGCUGGAUGUUUCUGAUUUGUGUGGGUUUGUGUCUGUUCUGACUUCCCCUUUGCUCCUGGAGCAGCUCCUCUCCAGGAGCUCACCCUGUGUGUCGUGGGCACUGCUCUGUGCCUCAAAAUCCCUUCAGGAUCCCUUUCAGUCUUCACAGAGCUGCUCCUUGCAGGGCCAAUGGUCCAUUCCAGGGGAGUGCUGAGCUCCCUCAAUUCAAAACAUCUUGCAGAAUGAGGCCAAAGACUCUGAGCUAGGAAGAGGUGUGAGGAGAGCUUUAUUAGUAUGGCACAUAUUUAACCCAUAGGAAAACCCACAAAUUUUACUCAUUUUAAGUGUAUUUCACACUUUUUGACUAUUUGAAAUAACCACAUUUGUAAAAACUUCUUUUAAUGAAUAGAGCUCUUUAUGUACAAAGGCAAACCCUUUUUUUUCCCCCUUAAGUACAGUCCUUUUAAAAUACUAUUUCUUUUGUAGGUCUGGCUGCUUCCCUCGUCUGUUCAUUAUUGCUUGCUGCUACAGAACCCUCCAGAACUGAAACCAGGCAAUUUAGAUUAUAUUUUAUCUUAGAAGAGUUUUGCUGAUCCAUGCCAUGUGUUCAUCAGGACUAAUAAGACAGAUGAGUAAAGGACUUUAAUUAUUUAAUGCCAACCCCAACCAGGCUGGUGUUCAGCACAAUAUUUGUGUGUGAGGGAUGGGAAGGAGCUACCUGGGUACAAAUUCUGGCCCCACUGAGCUCAGUGGGGGUUCUGCCAUUUGACUGCAACAAAGCAAAGGCUUCACCACAUGUUUAAAAGAAAUAUUUCACUGGGAUUUUCUGAAUGCUGGUAAAUGUGAUUUUAUCUUCCUUUUCACUUUUGAAUGUUUGUUUACCUUAUCUACCCUUCAAAGUAAUUUAAUAUAAAAACUUCUCAUCAAUUCCAUUUUA